rnacentral:lncRNA from 1 species
UCAAGAGGAUUCUUGAUAAUUCUCUAAUUGUGUUUCUAAUUGUUUUCUAAUUAUCUUUGUUCUUCAAUAUUAUGAAUAUGACUUUGUUCUACUUCAAUAUAUUGCUUAUGACUUUGCUCUACUUGCUUAUAUUCAAGAUUAUAUUGUUCUUAGUUUAUCAUAGUUAUGUACUUGGCUUAGUUAGAUACGAUCUAUAUACAUGCUUAGGAUCGUAUAGCGUUUAUCCAUCGGAUCCAUGGGUAAAUGAUAGAUAUUGUGUAGGCGUGGUGCUUAUACCGUAUUUAUCUGCGAUUGUACCCAAUAUGCCAGAUCGUGGGGUGGUUCGUGAUAGUGACAGCUUCAUUGAUUCUUAUAUAGUCCCCCUCUCGUGUAUUGGGCCGGC